UACGUAGGGAGCGAGCGUUGUUCGGAUUUACUGGGCGUAAAGGGCGCGUAGGCGGCAUAUUAAGUCAUCUGUGAAAUCUCCGAGCUUAACUCGGAACUGUCAGCUGAUACUGAUGUGCUAGAGUGCGGAAGGGGCAAUCGGAAUUCUUGGUGUAGCGGUGAAAUGCGUAGAUAUCAAGAGGAACACCUGAGGUGAAGACGGGUUGCUGGGCCGACACUGACGCUGAGUGCGCGAAAGCCAGGGGAGCAAACGGG
rnacentral:rRNA from 1 species